GCGUAGGUAUUUAUCCUUGGGUGGGGGACAACUGCGGGAAACUGCAGCUAAUACCGCAUGAUGCCUGUGGGCCAAAGGCUUUGGUCGCCUGGGGAGGAGCCUGCGUACGAUUAGCUUGUUGGUGGGGUAAAGGCCUACCAAGGCGACGAUCGUUAGCUGGUCUGAGAGGAUGAUCAGCCACACUGGGACUGAGACACGGCCCAGACUCCUACGGGAGGCAGCAGUGGGGAAUAUUGGACAAUGGGCGAAAGCCUGAUCCAGCAAUGCCGCGUGGGUGAAGAAGGUUUUCGGAUUGUAAAG
rnacentral:rRNA from 1 species